CAAGGUUAAGGUGGGGACGAGCUGCGCGGUGGUUCGAUUUCAAGUAAUUUCCCAAAAACUCCGUAAACCAGCGUGUCAAGUUCCUGUACCAGUCAGCUGGGUGAGGCGACUGGAGUGCCGGACCCAAGGAACAACCUGCCGGGAGCUGUAGGCAACGCAACACUGGCAGUGGAGACGCGGCUAUGAUUUCUGGGCAGCAAGAUGAGACUAGAACACCAUUCAGGAAAUGAAAACAGUCUGACCUUGUGUACCUGAAGAUGAGAUGAGGCUGUGAUGAUGAGACUUAACACAGAAUAAGGAAGGAGCAUAACGUGACUGGCAGUGGAGAUGAGGAUUCCUGUCCAGCAAGAUCAGACUAAGACGCCAUCAAACAGGAUAUGAGGCAAGAAGUAACUCAGUGAAGGAGUGUAAUGCAGUGUAUACAAAAGGAAAUAUUUGUUGUGCAUGAUGCUAUUUUGUACAUGUUGUUUGUAUUGGUUAGGUGGGUACUGAUGAGCAGACUCUGCAGCCAUUGCAAAAAGCCAAGAAAUAACUGUGAUAAUUCAAUCAAUCAAUCAGUGGGGUCAUACGUCUGGGGGUGCAUUGCCUUGCCCACCCUACGAUGCCAAGCCUUGGGGUCCAUCCAGGCGAGUCUCCAUGGAGGCCCCCUUCCCAACCUGAGUACCUCCCGGCAGGAUCUAUUGACUUGCUCGAGCCAUGAACUCCGUGGGUGUCCCCUUGGCCUCCUCCACUCAGGAUUGUCUCUUACAGAGACAACUCGAUGAGCAGGAUCAGCUUCAGGGUAACGUGCCCGUAUAGCCGGAGUUGGUGUUGACAGACUAUGCAGGUAAUGUAAGUCGAAUUAGUCUCAUGGAGUAGUUGCCGGUUUGACACAAAGUCAUUCCAGCGAUAUCCCAUGAUUCUGCGUAGACAUUUAUUACCAAGGCAUCAAUCCGCCUCUCCAAGUCCCCAACCAUAGAGUAAGAUAGGGAGCACAAGGGACUUUAAGAUCUAUAUCUUUGUCCUUCUGCACAGGUAUUGACAACGCCAUAUACUCGUGUUGAGCGAGUCCAUAACACUGUGGGCCAGGCCAAUCUGCCGUAAGACUUCGCGGCCAGACUCACCGUUGUUAUGAACCACACUACCAAGAUACGUGAAACUUACCGAGAUCUCACCGUCCUCGCCACAGGCAUGAACAGACUGUACUGUUUCAUCUAGCAAGCCUCCAAACACCUUUACCUUUGUCUUGGCCCAGGAGACCUGAAGUCCCAAGGGCUUCGCCUCCUCAGCAGUGCCUCGGGAGCCAUCACCAAAACCUCCAGCAACUCUGCCAGGAUUACUGCAUCAUCGGCAAAAUCAAGGUCAGUGACCCUGGUAUUGCCAAUGGAUGCUCCGCAAUGACUUUGGUCCACAACUCUGCCCAGUACCCAGUCCAUACAAGUGUUGAAAAGCGAUGGGGCAAGGACACAGCCCUGCCUCACUCCCGCAUUCAUGGGAAAGACAAUGAGUGUGUCCCUGGUCUAAUACAGAGUCGAGUUUGGUGUAGAACAUCUCCUCUUCAGUUUCACGCAUCUCAUCAACCGGAGCAACCUCAACCACAAAUGGCAGCAGUUGGCUGGAGAUGCCCAUAGCUACCCCCUGACAUGGAAGCCAUUGCUCAUGCCGGACAAGUAGAAGGUGUACCCCCCCUUGCUGAUCUCGUCACUGCCAGGCCUCCUUGUCUCAGAAAGUGCCACUAUGUCCACCCUCAGCCUUCUGAGCUCAUUUGCUAGAUAAGGCAGUCGAUCAUUGUUUGAGAGGCUAAUAAUUGUCCCUUUUUUUUUUCAGUUUCCACCGCCUUGAUAAAUUUUUCUGGCUGGUGGUAUUUGGUGUCUUGACUCACCCACAUUGCCUGGCUGGCUUCCUCAUUGAUUGUCCAGAGGCCAUCAGGAAAGGUUUUGUGAGUGUCACUCCAACCCCGACCCCCCCAGUGCCCGGGAUUAAGGAACUAUCAAUUUAUUUGUUCAUCAAACGUUAAAUAUGGACGGUGCACAUCUCUUCAAUGAGGAGAAGGCCCGUAUUUUAGCGUGGAGGCAGGAAAGUGUCCCCAUCAAGGAAAUUUGUCAUUGUUGUGGACGUGGGACGCGUAAUAUUUGCUGGCUGCUGCUUGUGUCCUUCCCCCAGACACCAUUCCAGACAACAAAACCAUCCCUGGCCGCCCCUGCAAGACGUCUACAGCCACAGAUAACCUUCUGCAAUGAGAAGUGACUGAAAAUCUCUGAGUGACAGCCCCCCAGCUCCAAGAAAGCCACCCAAGUUUGCAAGAAAACGUCACUGUCCUUACAAUUCAACACCAGCUCCAGAAAGAUCUGCUGCUGUGCAGCCGCAGAAUACUUAAAGAAUCCAAGUCACAGCAUGCUAAAACUGUACAUAUGUAGUGUGUGUUGUGAUGUGGUCCCUCACUUUUUUUGCAGUGACUAACUAUUGAUACCCACCUAACUGACAUGACAUCAAUCGGUUUCUCUCAAAUUCUAUUCCAUUGACCCAAGAGUGUUUGAUACUUUUUUUUAUGACUGUCUCACUAUCUCUCUGGGUGGACAGAUACAGUUCAUGCAUCUAAUAUGUAUAUUUCUUGACAACAAUAAUACUAAUAGCCUUCACAAUUUGCCGAUGUUUUUUUCAUAUCAGCAGAUUGGCAGUGAGACAAAAUGAAGAUUCCCAGGCUGCAAGAUGAGACUACAACACCACCCAACAGGAGAAGGAAACUGUCUGAUUUCUUAUACCGGAUGAGAGGAGGCUCUGGGGAUAAGAUACAGUAUGCGCGGAAAGUUUGGUCGCCAAAAGGCCAACAUUUUUUUGGCGUUAAGUGAAGGCGGGUCAUAACUCCAUAAGAUAUCACCAACAAAGGUUAAGUUAGAGGCAUACACUAUUACUGUGUGGGGCCUCGGUGCUCAUCUGACACAUUUCCCCUUUUAAGCCCGUGAUGGGUAAAUUUGUACCUUAAGAACCCAUUACUCUGGGACACAGAGCCAGUGUGACAUAUGGAGGGCCACAGUUUACCUUCCCCAGGUUUCCCCAAUUACACAUUUAUUUACCAACCUGAAAAGGAGGAUAAACAGCAGGUGAACUGCACGCUGACUACCCAGGCUGGGAUUCAAACCUGAGCCUGCAGAGUCGUAGCUAGAGUGCUAACCAUGGAGGUUAUCACCAAGAACUACGUCAAAUUUGCUUCUUCCUUCCAGUAAUAUGUCAAUUAUACUCAGGACCAAACAUUAUUGUUGAAACUUAUGUCUAUUCUACUACCAUACUGCUAACGUCAAACAUUUUCGGAAGUUAAAUCACUAAUAACUUCCCAAUAUGUUGUGACACUAGCAGCAUGGUAGUAGAAUAGAUAAUAAGUUUCUUCAAUAAUGUUUGGAUUCUUGAGUAUAGCCAAUUUAUUAUUGGAAGAAAGCUGCAAACUUGACAUAGUCCCCUGGUUGCAGCCAAGAAUACAUUUGUAAAGAGUGUCAGCCAGUGCCUCCCUGGUGUGGUGGCUGAGUCGACAGAGUGACGGCGCCGCGUUCAGGAGGACGCGAGUUCAAUCCCCGCCCGGUACCACCAAACUGGGAUUUUUCAGCCGCUGCCGAGUGGCUUAAAACUACCCACAUGCUGUCCAGAAGACCACCUAUCAACCCGGACUCUAGAUUCAAGGAUUAAAGAUGAGCUCCGGGAGGGCAGCAUGAGCCAAUGCAAGAUGGCGCCACUAUAAACACUCGCCAGAACAGGCUCGGCCGACCAUCAGGCCCCACCGGGAAGAAGCCUACCGGCGCAAUAGGCCGUGACGUAAAAGAAAAAAAAGAAAAAAAAAAGUGGUUAGUGUCCCUAACUAUGAAUCUUCGGAUCUGGGUUUAAAUCCCGGCCUGGGUAGUCAGUAUGCAGCCCACCCAGCUGUUUAUUCUUCCUUUUUGGGAUGGUCGAUAAAUGGGUACCUGGGGAAGGUAAACUGUGUAUGCUGUAUGUAAUAUGGUAAGACUGACACUGGACAAGAAAAGAACUGUUCUUGUCUCAGUGCUAUUACAGCAACAAAGGGAACAGUAAGAAAUAUAUGCUGUUGGUCUGCUUAAAUUUGAAAAUCAAAAUAAUGCCAGCAAGCUGGACUCGGCAGUGUUUACCUAGGAAAAAUUUUGUUACUGGUUUGGAGGUGGAUUGCUUUCCAUAAAUAUAUGUAAUUCAAUAGUGUUGGCACUGGACUAGGGGUUUGUGUGGCAUGCAAUAAGAGCUAGUUUUCAGGUAUUUCAUAAGGAUAGGUGGAAGAAGGGAUUACACUUUGUUAAUGCUUUGUUAAUAAUUCAGUUCAAACAGACUCAACUUAGGUUUUGAGGGUGGGUGUGCUUAAAGGAAAAGAUAAGUUGACACCAGUUGUUAAGUACGGGCUGCCUAACCUUAGGGCAAACAGGAGUAAAAAUGUCUGCAAAAUGGGAGAAUCUAAUUAUAAACACAGAUUGGGAUAGUGUAGUGGAUGCAACUAAGUUCACAUAACUAAAAGGUAUGAAAUUAAAGCUAGCAACAAAUACAGCUGAGCAUAUUAUAUCUCGAUGUAAUGAGAAAAAUGUUUAAUGACUACAUCCUCAGUCCUAAUAAGAAAAUCUAGUGACUAUUCCAGAAGGGGUCCAGGGUUAUGCUGUCAACUAUAACUGCUUUUAAGUUUCAAAUGGUAAUAUGCAUUAUGUGUUUUUAACACCUAUUGCUUUUCUUGGCAGAUGGCAAUGUCAGGACAAUCUUAUUAUUUAACAAAAUAAUUUGAAACUCAAAAUGGUUAUAGUUGACUGUAUUAAUUAUUAUUUACCCAGGACACAGGGUCAGUGUGAAAUCUGAAUUACCACAGUUUACCUUCCCCAGUUACCCAUUUAUCAACCACUGAAAAGAAAGCUGGGUGAGCUGAUUGCCCGGGCCAGGAUUUGAACCUGGACCCGUGGAUUCGUAGCUAGGCACGCUAACCACUUCGCCACGAAGAAAUUCCCAUGUGCUGGCUAUCAUAUUAUCCAUGAAAUUCAACAACUUGUGACUGCAGGUUGCCAGAGCACGUUAAUGCACACCUCAGAAUCGUGUGCUGAGAAUACAGUCAGGAAGAGGUGCUAGUUAUGGAGGGAGUGGCCAUAUGAUAAGGACAUCACCAGGGUUUGAAAGUUUAAAUGGAGGGUGGGGGAUGGUAGAGAGACCAGCAAUAAAAUGGGUCAACAGGAUUGAUGAAUAACAGAAGUAGUGGGACUGGGUGUGUGAAUGUUGCAAAAAGUGAGUGUGACCAGGGGGAACUUGAUAGUAUUCUGCCAUGGGCAGCCCCUCGAGGGGACUUCCUGAGAGAACAGGUCAUCAGAGCUAAUCCUUUUACCUUUAAUGAUUCUCUUGAUUGAACCUAUGGCCUUUUACUUCAAAGUGCAGUCCGUAGUGCUGGUAAGCUUUCUUGAAAGGCUACGGUAGUUGGCCCCAUCUUCCUAAUGGCGUGGGUGAACUUUUUUUUAUAGUGGCUGCCAUGUAGUAGGGCUAUCUUGGGCCAAGCUGCUCCUCUUGACCUAAGUCACUGAAUUCAAGGUUGACUGAUGGACAAACAGCAUGUGGGUAACCUCAUGCCACUCUGCAAUGGGUGAAAAUUGUUAGUCGGUUGUGACAGGAAGUGAACUCUUGUCUUUGGAACCAUCACAUUAACGUGCUGACCAUUCUAUUCUAUCACUGCCAGUCCUCCCUUCACUGCCCUUACAUUUGCUUCUCCCUCCACACUCUCACACCUAGAACUGUUCCUUGAUAUCAAAACCCCUCCACUUCCUUACCCACCCGAAUUACCUCAUCUUUUUACUCAGGCUAGCACUCAAGGAUACUGAAUUAUGAAUGUUGAGAACCAAUAUUCCAGAGUAUCGUCUCAGCACCUUCCCAGUUUAGAAAGGUAUGUAUUUAUAGUCAAGGGCUGAAACAAAUAAAGCCUUGCUGAAGAUUAA